rnacentral:rRNA from 1 species
AUGGGGGCGGCGCCGUCGAGACAGGAGGCGUCCACCGCCUCGUCGCCCACCGGCGAUGGCCGUGUCAUGCCGGCGGCGCUCAGCGCUUCUACUACUUCCGACACCGCCAACCAGGCCCAGUCCAAGAGGGCGCCGGCUCCUCACAUGCUCCGGGAGAUCGUCGCCGGGGAGAAUGUCGCCGACGUAGCCGCGCUGGAAGAUCAGGUCUCCACCGGGAUCUUCUUGGCCGGGAAAACAAAGAAGUACUGGGUAGAUGAGAGGACCAGGCACAACUGCUUCAUGCUGUUCCCCAGAGGCCUGCACAUCACCUGGAGCGAAGACCCCAAAUACUGGACUUGGCACCCCCUGAAAGAAGGAAGCGAGGCCGAAGCCGGAAUCGAGACGGUGGCGCUGCAGAACGUCUGCUGGCUGGAGGUCCAAGGGAAGCUGGAGCUGUCCCUUCUCACACCAGGAGUCACCUACGAGGUCUUCUUCGAGGUGAAGCUCAAUGACCCAGCCUACGGAUGGUCGACGCCGGUGAACCUCCGGCUCAAGUUCCCCGACGGUACGAUCCAGCAGCACAAGGAGAACCUGGAGGAGAAGCCCAGGGGGAAGUGGCUGCAGGUCAAGGUUGGGGAGGUUAAGCCGCACAAGGGGCAGAAUGGAGAGGCAGAGAUCUCCAUGUUUGAGUAUGAUGGUGGGCAGUGGAAGAGGGGGCUCCUCAUCAAGGGCAUCAAGAUCAUCCCAAAAGAAUGA